UACGGAGGGUGCAAGCGUUAUCCGGAUUCACUGGGUUUAAAGGGAGCGUAGGUGGGUUGGUAAGUCAGUGGUGAAAUCUCUGAGCUUAACUCGGAAACUGCCAUUGAUACUAUCAGUCUUGAAUACCGUGGAGGUCAGCGGAAUAUGUCAUGUAGCGGUGAAAUGCUUAGAUAUGACAUAGAACACCAAUUGCGAAGGCAGCUGGCUACACGAAUAUUGACACUCAGGCUCGAAAGCGUGGGGAUCAAACAGG
rnacentral:rRNA from 1 species